AUGAGACAUGGAGGCUCAACGGUCUAGUGGCAUGAUUCUCGCUUUGGGUGCGAGAGGUCCCGGGUUCAAAUCCCGGUUGAGCCCAUUAUUAAAGUGUAACUAAUGUUAAAGAUAGGGACUGUCUUCUUCGUCUCUAUGGAUAUACUAAAAUGCAAGGGACAUAGAGGCUCAAUGGUCUAGUGGCAUGAUUCUUGCUUUAGGUUCAAGUCCCGGUUGAGCCCAUUGUUGGAGUGUAACUAAUGUUGUCAGUGCAAUUUCCGCUUGUUUCAUUUUUUACAAAGACACUCGAAAUAGCACAUCCUUAAUGCUAUUUAAUGAGGAGAACAAACUAAACUCGACUGAAUCGCAAGUCUUGCCCUGAAGUUAAGAGUACUUCCUUAUUGUAGGUGUUAUCACAUGCGCCUAACAUCCCUAACGUGCCUUUUGGAUUCGGGUGAGGUACUCAUGUAGUAAUAACUUAAACUACUGUGGGUCCCAGUCUUACGCAGUUGUAUAGCUACGGACUCUGUGGCGCAAUGGUAGCGCGUCUGACUCCAGAUUAGAUGGUUGCGUGUUCAAUUCACGUCAGAGUCAGAAAAAACAGCAUUAAAACAUGGUUACAAAAUAAUGGUUCUUGAGUGAAGUAAUUGUAAGAAGAAAAUCUUGCUCCAGGUUGUGACUUCAUUAUUGCGUACUGAGGCUUUUUUUUAUAUCCUUAGAGACAACGAAGACAGUCCCUAUUUUUCCAAAGCCAUUCCUAAUAGAACAUUGUGACAUGUUGCAUGUGUCAUGGAGGCUCAAUGGUCUAGUGGCAUGAUUCUCGCUUUGGGUGCAAGAGGUCCGGGGUUCAAAUCCCGGUUGAGCCCAUUAUUAAAGUGUAACUAAUGUUAAAGAUAGGGACUGUCUUCUUCGUCUCUAUGGAUAUAAUAAAAUGCAAGGGACAUAGAGGCUCAAUGGUCUAGUGGCAUGAUUCUUGCUUUAGGUUCAAAUCCCGGUUGAGCCCAUUGUUGGAGUGUAACUAAUGUUGUCAGUGCAAUUUCCGCUUGUUUCAUUUUUUAUAAAGACACUCGAAAUAGCACAUCCUUAAUGUUAUUUACUGCAGAGAACAAACCAAACUCGACUGAAUCGCAAGUCUUGCCCUGAAGUUAAGAGUACUUCCUUAUUGUAGGUGUUAUCACAUGCGCCUAACAUCCCUAACGUGCCUUUUGGAUUCGGGUGAGGUACACAUGUAGUAAUAACUUAAACUACUCUGGGUCCCAGUCUUACGCAGUUGUAUAGCUACGGACUCUGUGGCGCAAUGGUAGUGCGUCUGACUCCUCCAGAUCAGAAGGUUGCGUGUUCAAUUCACGUCAGAGUCAGAAAAAACAGUAUUAAAACAUGGUUACAAAAUAAUGGUUCUUGAGUGAAGUAAUUGUAAGAAGAAAAUCUUGCUCCAGGUUGUGACUUAAUUAUUGCGUACUGAGGCUUUUUUUUAUAUCCUUAGAGACAACGAAGACAGUCCCUAUUUUGCCAAAGCCAUUCUUAAUAGAACAUUGUGACAUGUUGCAUUUGACAUGGAGGCUCAAUGGUCUAGUGGCAUGAUUCUUGCUUUGGGUGCGAGAGGUCCCGGGUUCAAAUCCCGGUUGAGCCCAUCCUUAAAGUCUAACUAAUGUUAAAGAUAGGGACUGUCUUCUUCGUCUCUAUGGAUAUAAUAAAAUGCACGGGACAUAGAGGCUCAAUGGUCUAGUGCCAUGAUUCUUGCUUUAGGUUCAAAUCCCGGUUGAGCCCAUUGUUGGAGUGUAACUAAUGUUGUCAGUGCAAUUUCCGCUUGUUUCAUUUUUUACAAAGACACUCGAAAUAGCACAUCCUCAAUGCUAUUUAAUGCAGAGAACAAACCAAACUCGACUGAAUCGCAAGUCUUGCCCUGAAGUUAAGAGUACUUCCUUAUUGUAGGUGUUAUCACAUGCGCCUAACAUUCCUAACGUGCCUUUUGGAUUCGGGUGAGGUACACAUGUAGUAAUAACUUAAACUACUCUGGGUCCCAGUCUUACGCAGUUGUAUAGCUACGGACUCUGUGACGCAAUGGUAGCGCGUCUGACUCCAGAUCAGAAGGUUGCGUGUUCAAUUCACGUCAGAGUCAGAAAAAACAGCAUUAAAACAUGGUUACAAAAUAAUGGUUCUUGAGUGAAGUAAUUGUAAGAAGAAAAUCUUGCUCCAGGUUGUGACUUCAUUAUUGCGUACUGAGGCUUUUUUUAUAUCCUUAGAGACAACGAAGACAGUCCCUAUUUUUCCAAAGCCAUUCUUAAUAGAACAUUGUGACAUGUUGCAUGUGACACGGAGGCUCAAUGGUCUAGUGGCAUGAUUCUCGCUUUGGGUGCGAGAGGUCCCGGGUUCAAAUCCCGGUUGAGCCCAUUAUUAAAGUGUAACUAAUGUUAAAGAUAGGGACUGUCUUCUUCGUCUCUAUGGAUAUAAUAAAAUGCAAGGGACAUAGAGGCUCAAUGGUCUAGUGGCAUGAUUCUUGCUUUAGGUUCAAAUCCCGGUUGAGCCCAUUGUUGGAGUGUAACUAAUGUUGUCAGUGCAAUUUCCGCUUGUUUCAUUUUUUACAAAGACACUCGAAAUAGCACAUCCUUAAUACUAUUCAAUGCAGAGAACAAACCAAACUCGACUGAAUCGCAAGUCUUGCCCUGAAGUUAAGAGUACUUCCUUAUUGUAGGUGUUAUCACAUGCGCCAAACAUCCCUAACGUGCCUUUUGUAUUCGGGUGAGGUACACAUGUAGUAAUAACUUAAACUACUCUGGGUCCCAGUCUUACGCAGUUGUAUAGCUACGGACUCUGUGGCGCAAUGGUAGCGCGUCUGACUCCAGAUCAGAAGUUUGCGUGUUCAAUUCACGUCAAAGUCAGAAAAAACAGCAUUAAAACAUGGUUACAAAAUAAUGGUUCUUGAGUGAAGUAGUUGUAAGAAGAAAAUCUUGCUCCAGGUUGUGACUGUUGUGAAUGGCUACGGACUCUGUGGCGCAAUGGUAGCGCGUCUGACUCCAGAUCAGAAGGUUGCGUGUUCAAUUCAAGUCAGAGUCAGAAAAAACAGUAUUAAAACAUGGUUACAAAAUAAUAGUUCUUGAGUUAAGUAAUUGUAAGAAGAAAAUCUUGCUCCAGGUUGUGACUUCAUUAUUGCGUACUGAGGCUGUUUUUUAUAUCCUUAGAGACAACGAAGACAGUCCCUAUUUUUCCAAAGCCAUUCUUAAUAGAACAUUGUGACAUGUUGCAUGUGACAUGGAAGCUCAAUGGUCUAGUGGCAUGAUUCUCGCUUUGGGUGCGAGAGGUCCCGGGUUCAAAUCCCGGUUGAGCCCAUUAUUAAAGUGUAACUAAUGUUAAAGAUAGGGACUGUCUUCUUCGUCUCUAUGGAUAUAAUGAAAUGCACGGGACAUAGAGGCUCAAUGGUCUAGUGGCAUGAUUCUUGCUUUAGGUUCAAAUCCCGGUUGAGCCCAUUGUUGGAGUGUAACUAAUGUUGUCAGUGCAAUUUCCGCUUGUUUCAUUUUUUACAAAGACACUCGAAAUAGCACAUCCUUAAUGCUAUUUACUGCAGAGAACAAACCAAACUCGACUGAAUCGCAAGUCUUGCCCUGAAGUUAAGAGUAUUUCCUUAUUGUAGGUGUUAUCACAUGCGCCUAACA